rnacentral:snRNA from 1 species
GAGCUCAGUUAAGAGGCCAUA